rfam:Ictidomys tridecemlineatus contig128813, whole genome shotgun sequence.
GGAGUUGUGGCUCAGUGGUAGAGCGCUUGCCUAGUAUGUGUGAGGCUUUGGGUUCGAUUCUCAGCACCA